UACGUAGGGGGCAAGCGUUGUCCGGAAUUAUUGGGCGUAAAGCGCGCGCAGGCGGCUUUGUAAGUCUGUCGUUUAAGUUCGGGGCUCAACCCCGUAUCGCGAUGGAAACUGCAAGGCUUGAGUGCAGAAGAGGAGAGUGGAAUUCCCGGUGUAGCGGUGAAAUGCGCAGAUAUCGGGAAGAACACCCGUGGCGAAGGCGGCUCUCUGGGACGGUACUGACGCUGAGACGCGAAAGCGUGGGGAGCGAACAGG
rnacentral:rRNA from 1 species